AGUGAACGCUGGCGGUAGGCCUAACACAUGCAAGUCGAACGGCAGCACAGUAAGAGCUUGCUCUUACGGGUGGCGAGUGGCGGACGGGUGAGGAAUACAUCGGAAUCUACUUUUUCGUGGGGGAUAACGUAGGGAAACUUACGCUAAUACCGCAUACGACCUACGGGUGAAAGCAGGGGAUCUUCGGACCUUGCGCGAUUGAAUGAGCCGAUGUCGGAUUAGCUAGUUGGCGGGGUAAAGGCCCACCAAGCCGACGAUCCGUAGCUGGUCUGAGAGGAUGAUCAGCCACACUGGAACUGAGUCACGGUCCAGACUCCUACGGGAGGCAGCAGUGGGGAAUAUUGGACAAUGGGCGAAAGCCUGAUCCAGCCAUACCGCGUGGGUGAAGAAGGCCUUCGGGUUGUAAAGCCCUUUUGUUGGGAAAGAAAAGCAGCAGGUUAAUACCCCGCUGUUCUGACGGUACCCAAAGAAUAAGCACCGGCUAACUUCGUG
rnacentral:rRNA from 1 species